ensembl:lncRNA
UACUCUCUUUGCACAUAAUCGUUCUUUACUUGACAUUUUCCUUCCUAGUGAAAGUCAUUUCUGACCUCUUAACUUGAUAAAGCAUGCUGCACCCUUGUUGUCAUUAGGUUCAUUUAUUUAAGUUCACCCCUGGCCAUUCUUGUGCAGCACAUUUCCUCCUUUCUCUCUCAACUCACCAGCAUCAAGGGGCACCUGAACUGCUCGCAGACAGAAUGGGUGAGUCACUGGCACAAACAGACAAAUAAUGACCUGCGGGACUGUUCUAAGACAAGAGCGUCUCUUAUGCCACACUUUUGUUCCACCUUUUUGUCUUCUGAACUGCUCAGAUAGAUUAGUGUGAGAACUGUUAAUGAGCUUCUAAAAAUGGCUCCGCUAACGAGACAUUGUUAAACUCAGGUUCACGCAAACAUGGGCAGCUGAACAUACCUGAAAGUGUAUUUACACAUGUAGUUGAGAGGACUUUCAUGCACACUGACUCAUACGCACACACAUCUUUAUACUUUUUUUGACUCUUUCUCUUGCCGGUGGUAUUAUGGGAGGUGGGGGGUGUAUAAAUGUGUGCUAUGACUGUGUACAUGAGCAGGAGGCAUAUCUAAAGGAGUGCAGAUACAACACCAAAACACUCACAGCUGACUUUCCAUGCUGCUCUCAUCUCUAAUGGCAAUGCUGGCGAGGCUGGACCGGACCGAACGCUCCAGGAAAGACGCACGCUGUCUGAAACUGAGAAGCGAGUGUGAGGCAGGCAGAUAAAAGUGUUCUCUGUGCCCGCACUAUCCUUUUAAACUUCCUGAUGGAUUACUAAUAAAAAAAGGGGAGAAAAAUAAUCUGUGGAAGAAUGAAAUGCUUAAAGAGAGAGAGCGAGAGACGGGACAAAAGGGUUAUAUUGAAAUAUGCACCAAUAAAAUUUGUGGCACAAAGCACGAAGUCAUCAUUCAAAUAUCAUGUGUAACCACACCAGCCCAGGACCUCCACAUCCAGCAUCUUCACCUCCAAGAUCGUCUGAGACCAGCCACCCGGACAGCUGCUGCAACAAUCGGUUUGCAUAACCAAAGAAUUUCUGCACAAACUGUCAGAAACCGUCUCAGGGAAGUUCAUCUGCAUGCUCGUCAUCCUCAUCGAGGUCUCGACCUGACUGCAGUUCAUCAUCGUAACCGAC